UAAGCUGAGUUGCCCUGUAAUUGCACUUCGAUCCCUGCUCUGUUCCUUCGCAGCCUGGAGGCUGCAGAGGCUGGGUCCAGCUUGCAGACUGGCCAGGCGUGGCCCACCCUGCGGCCCUGCAGAUGCACCCGCCCUGCCCCUGCCCUGCCCACCACCUCACGUCUCCCUUGCAACCUCCCUUCUUCCUGUGGCUGCAAAACA
rnacentral:lncRNA from 10 species